GGUUGGUCUAAUGCAGUGGUUUUUACAUCUAAUUGAUCACAACCAGUUACAGAUUCCUUUGUUCCUUCUCCACUCCCACUGCUUCACUUGACUAGCCAGAA
rnacentral:Y_RNA from 1 species